GACGAACGCCGGCGGCGUGCUUAACACAUGCAAGUCGAACGGAAAGGCCCUGCUUUUGUGGGGUGCUCGAGUGGCGCACGGGUGAGUAACACGUGAGUAACCUGCCCUUGACUUAGGGAUAACUUCAGGAAACUGGGGCUAAUACCGGAUAGGAGCUCCUGCUGCAUGGUGGGGGUUGGAAAGUUUCGGCGGUUGGGGAUGGACUCGCGGCUUACCAGCUUGUUGGUGGGGUAGUGGCUUACCAAGGCUGUGACGGGUAGCCGGCCUAAGAGGGUGACCGGCCUCAUUGUGACUGAGGUACGGCCCAGACUCAUACGGGAGGCAGCAGGGGAGAAUAUGGCACAAUGGGCGGAAGCCUGAUGCAGCAACGCCGCGUGCGGGAUGACGGCCUUCGGGUUUUAAACCGCUUUCGCCUGUGACGAAGCGUGAGUGACGUUGAUGAGUAAGGAAGCACCGGCUAACUACGUG
rnacentral:rRNA from 1 species